UCUGGUAUACUACUGUGCCAGGUGCGUUCCAUACCGAUGCUAAAGGGGGAUGUUUGCAUUGGUAUCUGACGCUAAGAGCCACU